AACGAACGCUGGCGGCAGGCCUAACACAUGCAAGUCGAACGCCGUAGCAAUACGGAGUGGCAGACGGGUGAGUAACGCGUGGGAACCUACCUUACGGUCGGGAAUAGCUCAGGGAAACUUGGGGUAAUACCGGAUACGACCUUACGGGGACAGAUUUAACGCCGUUAGAGGGGCCCGCGUAGGAUUAGCUAGUUGGUGAGGUAAUGGCUCACCAAGGCGACGAUCAUUAGCUGGCCUGAGAGGAUGAUCAGCCACACUGGGACUGAGACACGGCCCAGACUCCUACGGGAGGCAGCAGUGGGGAAUAUUGGACAAUGGGCGAAAGCCUGAUCCAGCCAUGCCGCGUGAGUGACGAAGGCCUUCGGGUUGUAAAGCUCUUUUGGCGGGGAAGAUAAUGACGGUACCCGCAGAAUAAGCUCCGGCUAACUUCGUGCCAGCAGCCGCCGUAA
rnacentral:rRNA from 1 species